rnacentral:misc_RNA from 1 species
GAGAAGAACGUAGCGAAAUGCGAUACGUAAUGUGAAUUGCAGAAUUCAGUGAAUCAUCGAAUCUUUGAACGCAUAUUGCGCUCUCUGGUAUUCCGGAGAGCAUGCUUGUUUGAGUAUCAGUAAACACCUCAACUUCCAUAUCUUUUUUGAAAUGGGAGUUGGACUUGAGUGAUCCCAACGCUUUUCCUCACCGAAAAGUGGCGGGUUACUUGAAAUGCAGGUGCAGCUGGACUUUUCUCUGAGCUAUAAGCAUAUCUAUUUAGUCUGCCUAAAAACAGAUUAUUACCUUUGCUGCAGCUAACAUAAAGGAGAUUAGUUCUUGUGCUGACUGAUGCAGGAUUCACAAAGACAGGCUUCGGCCGACUUUGUAAACUCGAUCUCAAAUCAAGUAAGACUACCCGCUGAACUUAAGCAUAUCAAUAAGCGGAGGA